AUUGAACGCUGGCGGCAUGCCUUACACAUGCAAGUCGAACGGCAGGCACGGGAGCAAUCCUGGUGGCGAGUGGCGAACGGGUGAGUAAUAUAUCGGAACGUGCCCAGUCGUGGGGGAUAACGUAGCGAAAGCUACGCUAAUACCGCAUACGAUCUAUGGAUGAAAGCGGGGGAUCGCAAGACCUCGCGCGAUUGGAGCGGCCGAUAUCAGAUUAGGUAGUUGGUGAGGUAAAGGCUCACCAAGCCGACGAUCUGUAGCUGGUCUGAGAGGACGACCAGCCACACUGGGACUGAGACACGGCCCAGACUCCUACGGGAGGCAGCAGUGGGGAAUUUUGGACAAUGGGCGCAAGCCUGAUCCAGCAAUGCCGCGUGCAGGAUGAAGGCCUUCGGGUUGUAAACUGCUUUUGUACGGAACGAAACGGUGAGCUCUAAUACAGUUUGCUAAUGACGGUACCGUAAGAAUAAGCACCGGCUAACUACGUG
rnacentral:rRNA from 1 species